CGUCAAGUCCUCAUGGCCCUUACGUCCCGGGCUACACACGUGCUACAAUGGUAGGAACAAAGGGAAGCGAAGCUGCGAGGUGGAGCUAAUCCCAAAAAACCUAUCCCAGUUCGGAUUGUAGUCUGCAACUCGACUGCAUGAAGUUGGAAUCGCUAGUAAUCGCGGAUCAGCAUGCCGCGGUGAAUACGUUCCCGGGCCUU
rnacentral:rRNA from 1 species